rnacentral:lncRNA from 1 species
GGGGUCCGUAGAAACACCGCAAAGGACCUCCUUAGUGCACUAAGAACAAAAAUGUGCACUAAGGACCUACUCCUUUCAUAAUUUUAAAUUAUAUUUUUUCUAAUGUUUUCUCGACACGUGCCUCAAAAAGUUGAUUGUCACCUUUAGUAUAAUCGAUAGCAAUUCAUGUUCGCUCAACCUUGGCCCGUGAAUAAUCUACUAGUAUACUGAUUAAACAUGUAUAUGGUAUUUCAAAUUGUUCUCUAUUUUUUUUUCAUUUGUUUGUUUUUGCCGUAUUUAUUCUGUCUGCUAUAUUUUUUACUUCUAAAUUAAUAGCGUAUUUUCAACUCUUUUCAGUUUGGGAUUUUUCAUCCUUUUAAUUUUAAAAAGACAAAUAAUUGUGAACACUUCACGGAAAAGUGAGGAUUGAUAUUUGGUUGCUUAACGUCCAGUUGCCAAUACUUCAUUCAUUUUUCUAAUGUUAAGAACUAUGCCAUUUAUCAAUAUUUCGAUUUGAGCGUUACUG